ensembl:lincRNA
AGGGGCUGAGAAGCAGGGUUGGGUUCAAUUGCUUAUACUAAACUCUCACUCUCUCCUCUUUGAGUCAGAAGAGGUGAAUCCACCCACAAGCCAUGAAUAAACAAGGGCCAAGGGCCAGUCUUAAAUGCUGUCCAGUGUCUGGGCAGUAAUAAUUGGUCAGUACAGGGAAAAUGUAAUCAAACCCUCCCUCCAGAGAGGUUUUUCUUUAUUUUGACAAAGUGGGAAAAAGCUAAUGGGACAAGACAUGCCUUCAUAUUUUAUUAUAGAAUGAGAUGGGCUUACUGUUUGGAGGCUUUAACUGAGGUUUCUUUCUUUCUUUUUUUUUUUUUACUCCUUAUUAGAAUUCUUCUUGUUUGGAUUUAAAUGUCUAUUCUCAAGAUAACAGCAGCACCGUCACCAAAAACCUUGAAAUUAGCAUUAGAAGAUGCUGCCAUCUGACAUUCUUAGGCUGCCUGCUUUCCAUUCUGUUUGUAAGCAGUGGAAGAAGAGCCAGGAGUUCGAUAAGCCUGGGUUCUAUGAGUUGGAGGUAGGUAUGGGACAGUACUGCCCAAGAACUACCAGGGAUGCACUAAGGACGACCAUGAAGCAAGCAUCCAAGAAGGAAGAUGUAGUCAAUCAGACACACCGUUCAACCACAGGAUUAACCAAGGGGAGUUGGGUGAGACUGAAAACAGGUGGGAGGCAGCAGGGUAGAAAUUAGAGACAUAAGACAUUGGGAAAGAAUAAACAGGUUCAGCAUGGAGGGAAAGAGGCUAAUGUCAGAGAGAUUUCCUGAAACACUGGUGUCCAAUGUUAAGGACUUAAAAAAAAAGAAAUUAUAGCCUCCUUUGUGGGGGAAGAGAUUCGAUAAUCUCUUCUAAUGUUUGCCAAAUACAAUUCUUUGCAAUAAUCACAUAGGAAUCUUGUUAAACACUCACAUUCCCAGGCCCCGAGCUCUGAGAUUCUGAUGCAGAAGGUCUGAAUUAGGACCCUGAAAUUCCAUCUCCAGGGAAGAAGCAUCAUAGGUGGUUCUGAAGCAGGAGUUGUGUGGACCUCACGUUGAGACUGUGGAUAGGUAUGAAGAGGUAAAUUGUUUACUAUCUGUUGCCCUCAAGUUCCAUUUAGUUAAAUGUUAGAAAAGAAUGGUGUCCAGAAAUUGCAUGUUAGAGGCUAGUCAGGAUUAUAUAUAAAAAAAGAAAAAAUAUGCAGUAGGGUGGCAGUGAGGAGGAUAUCGCUAUCCUAUUUGUCUGAGUUUGUCUUAUUUGUUGGCCGAGUACACAUCAGAGAAAUCCCUGGGGCAGGGAUAUGUCACUUGGUUGUGCCUUUCCUUCACCUGAGAAUGUCCUAUUUUCUGCACUCAAUAAAUUUGAAGAUCUAGGAAAAAAUAUAGAUUGGGAAUUCCAUUUAUUCAUGUUUUCCUCCUUUAAUUAUAUUAUAAAUAAUUAAACAUUCAUUAGGUGCCUAAUAUGUGCCAGGCAUCAUUCUAGGAUUCUGAAGAUACACAAAUUAACAAGAUGGAUAACAUUUUUGACCUCAUGGGACUUAAAAUUUAGAAAGUAAUUGAACGAAAUGAGCUUAGAUGAUGGUUUAUUUUAUGUACCAACUUGACUGGGCUAAGGAAUGCCCAGAUAGCAGGCAGCACAUUAUUUCCGGGUGUGUCUGUGAGACUGUUUCAGGAAGAGAUUAGCAUUUGGAUCAGCAGACUGAGUAAGGAAGAUCGUGGGUGGGUAUCAUUCAAUCUGUUGAGGGCCUGAAGAGAACAAAAAGGCAGAGAAAGGGUGAAUGCUUGAGCUAGCUGCAUCUAUAUUUCCCUUCCUUUGGGCAUUAGAACAUCUGGUUCUUGGGCCUUCAGACUUGGCCCAGGACUUAUACUAUUGCCUCCUCUGGACUUCAGGCUUGGACUGUAACUACACCACCAGCUUUCCUGUGACUCAAGCUUAUAGUUCAUGG